UGGGAGGCAAAUGCUCAAAAAUAUUAUUAUCCACACAUGGACAAAGAAGUUGAGGCUCACAGAGCUUAAGUAAAUGAUUUGCCCAGGGUCAUACAGCUAGCUACUAAGUGCCUAAGUCAGGAUUUGGAAUUUGCCCUUUUCAAUAUAAUAAAUUCUGUCAAUUCUCUCUGCAGAGAAAGCCCUGAGAAAAUGCAGCACUUAUUUACAUCUAAGAAAAGUUUUAAAACAGACAUGAAGCCAGGGUUGAACUGGCCUAAGGGGACCAUCUGGAAACUGUACAGAGCUGCCUUCCUUGCUUCCAGCCCACCAAGUGUGUAACUCAGCACUUGGGGGUAUCAGAGCUGUCCAGCUGCCUGGCUGCUUCCUGUCAUCGGGUAACUUGAAGCUGAAAUGACUAGGUGGUUUGAUAUAUAACACAACAAACCGAAAAGACUUGAGAACUCUGAUCAACGUAGUAACCAACAACAAUGCCAGAGGACCACUGAUGAAUCAUAUCACCCACCUGCUAACAGAGAGGUGAAGGAAGUGGAGUCUUCAACCUUGGGAGUUUCAAAAAGUCAGAAGAGUAAGCCAUAGGAACUCAGAAGUUGGAAUCCAGGAUGGAAUUUCUAGUCAGCAAAGCAUCAAUGCUCAUAGGAACAAGAGAUUCCCAGUCUUGUGUUGCUGAGAGGAGGACUCAUCUGUCAUCAAUGUGCCUUUGUAACAUGAACUUGGUGUGAACAAUGCUAAGUAGAAAGUGAGAUAAAUAUUGAGCCUAAUCCUCCAGAAACAAGGUGGUUGGGGAGAUUAUGCUGAGUUGUUCUUUGUUCUUGCUAUGUCUUCAAAGCAAAUAUCCCUUUGUAAAAGAUAAUCAAAUGUUACAUGAUUAAUGGAACUGGAGUGCUAAUUACAAGCCUUACCUAGCUACCUAACAAUGAGAGGAGUCUUCAGGGGAGGCUCAAGUUAAUUAAUGGUGAUGGAGAAAAGACAGGUAACCCCUCAGGGUUACCCCCUUGAACCUUGACAGGCAGGUAUAGCAUCCUGACUCUAGGAAACUGGGUCAGAGCAUACACAUCGUUGUUCAGUUGUUUUAGUUGUGUCCAACUCUUCAGGGUUUUCUUGGCAAAGA